AUUCCUUGGGUAUAACCAACUUUUGGAAACUUUCACAUACAAAAAUAGUACAAAACUUGGUUCUGAUUACAACACAAUCGCAGUCAGAAAACCCUCACAACAAGACAUACGUCUAGAAACAAACACCAAAAAAUAAUGAGGAAAUUUCCAAAAGUUGGUUAUACCCAAGGAAUAAACAUGAGAAUAACCAAGACCAUAAAUAAUGUAUGGCAANNNNUCAUAUAUCAACAGCAAAUUGAAUCAAAGAAACAAAAAAUACACAUCAGUGCGUUGAAGCCACACCCCUC
rnacentral:misc_RNA from 1 species